AAAGAGAAGAAACCGAAUAAAAUCUUAAAUUCUUCCAUCAAAACGAAUAAAACCUCCAAUUCUUUCAUCAAAACUACAGGUAGUUCCACUACUGAUCACAUUAAAGUCCAUAUGCUUGCUUAACAAAAUCUCCAAUUUCUUCAUCAAAACUACAGAUAGUUCCACUACUGAUCACAUUAAUGUCUGUAGGGCUUGCUUAGGACUUUCAUUUUAUCAUAUUCAAUCAUCUCUAACAAACGAACAUCAAAUAACAUUCUUCAGCUUUCUUCAAUAGAGGAAAAGUAAUUUACUCCACUUCAGCC
rnacentral:lncRNA from 1 species